rnacentral:lncRNA from 1 species
GUGUGAGCCCACCGCAAAGCAGAAGCCCGCUGUGGGGCACACAGCAAAGCAGAAGGGAAUAAAAGAUGGUCACACGUCUUUUGAAAUCCUCUCAUUGAGUGGAGAAGCCUACAUCCUCAAUCCUGGAGUCUAAAUUGGACUUCACUCAGUUUGUCCAGCACCAUAGAUGAAAGAGUGUUCUGGAAUUUUGGAGAAAUUCUAGCCUUUCAAUCUGGCCUCUAAAAUAGCUCCCUUUUGGGAUCCUGAGCAGUAGUCACUGAAGGAACUUGAGUGUCUUUAUCAGAGGGCAGAAGGUGAGGAUUCUGUUCAACCCUGGGCUUCUAAACUGACACGUGAAGAACUAGACCUAGGGCUCUGCUGUUACAGACCAGCCUAGACCAGCCUAGACCAGCUUAGACCAGCCUAGACCAGGACCAGAUGCCAGCUGAAUAUUACACUGCCUUAGUUAAAGCCACAGAGUGGAUGAGAUUCACCUAGCCCAUCUCUGCUUGUUAUUCUGAUCAACCAUAAUUAAAUAAUUGUUUGAAGCUAGUGGGUUUGAGGGAAACUUGUUAUGCAGGAUUAAAUGUAAACAGUACACCUGGAUGGUGGUGGCACAUGCCUUUAAUCCCAACACUCUGGAGGCAGAGGCAUGUUGGAUCUCUGAGUUUGAGGCCAGAGUGAAUUCCAGGACAGCCAGGGCUACUGUCUCAAAAAAACAAAGCAACAACAACAAAACUAACAAGAAAAAUCACAGAAAUGUUCAGAUCAUAAUUUGAUGCAUAUUUUGUUAGCGUUAAUAAUCAGGAGUUCUUUUCUCACAUAUGUUUGUUUAAAGUUUAAACUUGGUAUAUUCCUGAAGCCAGUCUUUCAUCCUGGCAUCGGAGUGAGCGAAAAGCCUUAAGUCAUCUCCAGUGUCUCUAUAAUUGAAUUCCCUUCAACGAAGUCCUCCUGUGGGCAUUCUGCCGUAAAAGAAAAGUCUCCAACUACAAAGUGUUCUUUAGGUUCUGGAUUCUGUGUCCUCCCCUCAGAAAUUCUACUUUGCUCUUGAGCUCGGCAGAUGGUUUUUUGUUUUUUGUUUUUGUUUUUGUUUUUGUUUUUCUGCAUAGAUUCUAAGGGGAUAAUUAGGUAAGAGACAAAUUCAGAAACCCUCUGAAUUUUCUCUCCUGCAUCUGACAUUCAGUUCUCCUAUUCUGUGAUCUGUUCUUCUUGUAACCUUUGCUGCUUUUCUUUCUAGCUCUUUCCCUGGCUUGCCUCGCAUAUUUAGCUUGCCUAGAACUUGUCUUACUUGUGUGGUUUUGAACUUUACUAAAUAAACUACCAUGAUUCCAUGUAUAUUCUACAGUGUAGUACAAGUUACUGACAGCAUUCUGUAAAUAGAAUAUCUCCAUAAAAGUCUAUCUCACCCAAGUUAUGUACCUGUUAUUGAUCUAUUCUUUCAUUCUUCCUGCAGAUCUUUCCUUGUUUGGUUAAAUAAUCCAAUGGAACAAUGAGGGAAGACUAUCACAGAAGUAUGGAAUUAUAGAGUAAUUGUCUUUUAUUCAAGACUUUCAUGUUUGAAACACAUUUACAUAGCAUCUUCUAUAAAUCUCUAUUUCAAUUCAUAAAACAUUCAAAAUCAAGCAGUAAGUGUUAUGUUCUGACUAUGCCUUGGAAGAUAGAAAGGAAAUUUGUAUUUAGGUAUUUCGAUUAUAAAUAAAUGUUACAAAGAAUAAAAAUAUGUGUGUUACACAUACAAUAAAGGUGUCUCAGUGGAAACCUUUUUGCAUUUUCUGAAGCCUACCCUCCAAGGGCAUUAUCAGGUCUUAGCCAUGCUUACUGUCUUUGAGAGGCUUUGGAACGCCUUGCAAAGUAUUGAUGAUUGCUAAGCUUAUAGAUCUGUAUAGGUGACUUUUUCUCCAGUGCCCCCCACAACCUCCAAUUUUGUAUUCAAUUUUAAUUCACUUCAUUAUUCCUUAAUCCUUAUGAAUGUGUAUUUGACUUUAAAAAAUAAUUAUAAUGCCUACCACUUUACACAUGGUUUUAUCUGAUAUGGCUUCCUUUUUUUCUAUGUAUGACAGGCAUAAUUUUUAUAUUUUGCUGAAAAUGAUCUUUUACAGUUUUGAAAAUACAAUCCAGAGAUGUGAUGGUUUUUCCACCAACUAGGGCUGGACAAACAUGGUCGCCAAGGAAGUGCACAACACUUAAAGCCACAACACAUCUUUUCUUGGUCAUCAGGGCUAAAUCCAAAGGGACGAGGGAGCUCUGGUAUUGUCAUUUGUACUUUGCUCUAGGUUGACUUUGGUUUUGGUUUAUGUGUGGCUAGUUUAGUUAUUCCCCAGUGGGAAUUUGGAUUUUAUAGUCAGUGUGGGUGAUAUCUGUAAAUAAUAUUUGUGGAGAGAGAGGUAAUAAAGUAUCAUUUAUAGAUUUUUCUCUUGUCUAUUUUAAGUUCAAACUGAUUGCACUCACCAGAAGAGAAGAAAAUAGUAUAGACUACUGAGUGUUUUUACUUAAUGUUAUACCUACCAUAUGUGCAGUUUUGAAAACUGAAGCUGUAAGUUAUAUUUGUGUCUGACUCCAAGGUCAGAAGGACUUGUGACCUUUGGUGUGAAGUUGUAAUCUUUCUAUAUCUGAAUUAUAUAAAUUAAAACAAAUUAUAUGUAAGAAGCCUAAUUCUGCCUUACCUAUAAGUACAUCUUUAUCUUGACUGAAUAUUCCUAAAAUUCCAGAAGAUAAUAAAGUUGAACUAAUAUUUAAAUAUGCUAGAUUUCUUUUGGAUACACACAUGAGGUACUUGUUGUUUCUGACAUCCUCUUCAAUUAAGCAUUUGAACAUUAACGUUAUUAAGAUGUGAUGACAGAACAGGACAUACUGGGGAAACAUCUACCAACAGGGCUUGUACUCAGGAGGCUGACAUAUGAGUAUCAUAGUUCAAGUGUUGACAGGAUGGAUGCAAAUCAACAUCCCAAAUGCGUCUGUGAAAACAGGAAAACCCAAACCAAUAACAGCAUC